rnacentral:rRNA from 1 species
GAUGAACGCUGGCGGCGUGCCUAAUACAUGCAAGUCGAGCGAACAGACGAGGAGCUUGCUCCUUUGACGUUAGCGGCGGACGGGUGAGUAACACGUGGGUAACCUACCUAUAAGACUGGGGUAACUUCGGGAAACCGGAGCUAAUACCGGAUAAUAUUUCGAACCGCAUGGUUCGAUAGUGAAAGAUGGCUUUGCUAUCACUUAUAGAUGGACCUGCGCCGUAUUAGCUAGUUGGUAGGGUAACGGCUUACCAAGGCAACGAUACGUAGCCGACCUGAGAGGGUGAUCGGCCACACUGGAACUGAGACACGGUCCAGACUCCUACGGGAGGCAGCAGUAGGGAAUCUUCCGCAAUGGGCGAAAGCCUGACGGAGCAACGCCGCGUGAGUGAUGAAGGUCUUCGGAUCGUAAAACUCUGUUAUUAGGGAAGAACAAACGUGUAAGUAACUGUGCACGUCUUGACGGUACCUAAUCAGAAAGCCACGGCUAACUACGUG